UACGAGGGUGCAAACGUUAUUCGGAAUUACUGGGUGUAAAGGGUGUGUAGACGGCGUCUUAAGUCAAUUGUUAAAUUCCCCGGCUCAACUGGGGGCAGGCGAUUGAAACUAGGGUGCUAGAGGAUGGAAGAGAGAAGUGGAAUUCUCGGAGUAGCGGUAAAAUGCGUAGAUCUCGAGAGGAACACCGAUGGCGAAGGCAGCUUCUUGGUCCAUAUCUGACGUUUGAGACACGAAAGCGUGGGGAGCAAACAGG
rnacentral:rRNA from 1 species